UACGUAGGGGGCAAGCGUUGUCCGGAAUCAUUGGGCGUAAAGAGCGUGUAGGCGGUUCGGUAAGUCCGCUGUGAAAGUCAAGGGCUCAACCCCUUGAAAGCCGGUGGAUACUGUCGAACUAGAGUCCGGAAGAGGCGAGUGGAAUUCCUGGUGUAGCGGUGAAAUGCGCAGAUAUCAGGAGGAACACCGAUGGCGAAGGCAGCUCGCUGGGACGGUACUGACGCUGAGACGCGAAAGCGUGGGGAGCAAACAGG
rnacentral:rRNA from 1 species